rnacentral:lncRNA from 1 species
GAAAAGCAGCUGUGAAGUCAUAAUUAUGUUCACUUCCCACUGGCAACUGGCAAGCCCUUUAUUUUUGUGCAUUCGGAACUCACCAAGAAUAAAUAAAGUCCAUUCCCUCCUUGAGGGGCUAUUCUGCCAUUCCAUCUAGGAUUUAAAAGUUUGCCAAUUCCUAAAACAUCUAUUGUUAUCAAUAGUCUUGUGUCUUUCACAAAGCGGACUUUACAAAAUAAGAUGCCAUGUCCAGCCAAAUAAAUGAGACUGAACUUCAUGGUUGUUGUUUUUACUUCAUCCCGGCAAAAGAAAUGAAAUUAAAUAUAAAAAGCAGAUGACCAAAUAAAGUCCAAAUGAAUUAAGUAUU